rnacentral:rRNA from 1 species
UGGGGAAUAUUGCACAAUGGGCGCAAGCCUGAUGCAGCCAUGCCGCGUGUGUGAAGAAGGCCUUCGGGUUGUAAAGCACUUUCAGCGAGGAGGAAGGGUAGUGUGUUAAUAGCACAUUGCAUUGACGUUACUCGCAGAAGAAGCACCGGCUAACUCCGUGCCAGCAGCCGCGGUAAUACGGAGGGUGCCAGCGUUAAUCGGCAUUACUGGGCGUAAAGCGCACGCAGGCGGUUUGUUAAGUCAGAUGUGAAAUCCCCGCGCUUAACGUGGGAACUGCAUUUGAAACUGGCAAGCUAGAGUCUUGUAGAGGGGGGUAGAAUUCCAGGUGUAGCGGUGAAAUGCGUAGAGAUCUGGAGGAAUACCGGUGGCGAAGGCGGCCCCCUGGACAAAGACUGACGCUCAGGUGCGAAAGCGUGGGGAGCAAACA